rnacentral:lncRNA from 9 species
CAUUCCGAAUUUUUUUUUUGGUUUGAACUCUUAACACCUUAUUGUCUUGGAUAUGGAUAAUAGGACUUCUAUGGUUUUGCGUUUAAAAUACAUUAAACUUGGGAGAGAGGACAAGAUGGCGGAGGAGUAGGGGGACACGCUCGCCCUCUCCCACAAACACAACAAAAAAAGCACAUCUACAGAAGAAAUGACUCGCACAGAACAACAACCAAUCGCUGGCAGAGGAACCUAAACUCCAAUAACGGCAAGAAGUUCGUGACAUUAUUGGGCAGAACGGGAGAAAAGAAGAGAGUGAGAGAAGGUGAAUCCGAGCGGGACGGGCGCUCCCGAAAGGGAACUGCGGAGGAGAAAGGGAUCCCGCACCCUGGAAAGUCUCCUACCGGGGGAAAGAUCAAACGAACCGGAGGAAUCUCCAGAUGCAGAGAAGAGUGUAGCAGUAAGUCGGAGUACGGAAAAAAGAUCAAGAACCCAACGGACCAUCUGAACUACGGGCACAGUCAGCAAAAAUUGAGACGCCUGGGUGGGGGCUGGGCACCGAAUCCUCGGCUCCAGAGAGUAAUCAAAACCUAUUGGAGAUUCAGUUCACCACUGGAGCCUACCCAAACCUCCUUUCCUUUGUCUACCCCCCAACUCUGUGCAGCCUCUCUUACCCUUACAUCUCAGGUGAAGAGGAAAUCAGAGAAGGAGCAGCAACUUGCUGGUGCUGGUGGACUCAUUGCCAGUUUCAUCGUGCAUCUUAAGGCUACUAAAAACCUGACACUCCUCAAAUCAUCUAAGCCUUAAACAUUAACCGUCAGAGGAUUUUUCUCUAUUUAUCCAUUAUGAGCCAUGGCACAAUCAUUUCAUCUUUUCCAACGAGUCCUUACUGUGACUUCCUCUCCCACUGAAGUUCGUGUGUAGAUAGAAGGUAAGAUGUUUUGAAACAUCUUAGCUCUGCACAUCAUAUUUCAUCUUUUAGAGGCUCAGCUGCCCAGAUUUCACAAAGUAUUAACUUAAAAACAAAUAAUUUUGCAGUCUUUUACAGAAGAUGCUUCAAUAUUAAAGAUUUGAACCUGAAAUCUGUAACUUUAAGAUCAUAGCAUUAUGUUUUAAUAAACACAUUCUUAGAAUAAUUUCCUUGUAUUGAUUAGUGUCUUCCUUGUAGGAGUAUUGGAUUUAAUGUAUUAAUUAAACCUUAAUAUAUUAAUAUGUGAAUUUUAGACUUAAAAUUAAUAUAUAAUUAUUGGACGCAGCCAGACAUACUAAAAUAAUGACAUGAGACAAACAGUAAAACACACUUCCUAACAGAUAUAUGGUUUACAUCCUUCUAUUGGAAAGAGCCAAUACUAACUGAAGAGAAUUGACUACAUAGAGUAGUAGAUGCAAUGAAAGAAGUAAAAUAUCAUUAAUUAAAUUAAUUUUAUUAUUAAUUAUAGUUUAAUACAUUUAAAAUUAACCUUUGAGGAUAAAGGCUAUGUCUGCUUCUAUUACUUGCUGUUCAUGUUAAUAGAUAUUGAAAAAAAUAAUAUAUUUACU